rnacentral:snoRNA from 1 species
AAGGGGCACAUGAUGAGUUUGAAUUGUGUAAAUGGGUAAUUUGCAUCUGAAUUUUAUUGAUGUUAAUAUCACCUUGGAGAACUGAUGCCCCGA